rnacentral:lncRNA from 10 species
GUGCUGCAGGCAGUGGAAAGAAGAGAGAGAUGUAUCACUCCUUGAGGGCUCAGACCUCAGGACUCCCCAAGCAACUGUAACACCCCUUGGGCUCCACAGUUGCUGGCAUCUCUGAGUUUUCAGAAGCCACUGCAGCCUCCUUGUCCAGACACUGGCACCCAAGCAGAAAUGAUUCAAGACAGCACACCCGGACCAGUCAUGGACUGAGCACAGAGUUGGCAGGCACUGGAUCCAGGCCCAUAGCACAAGCUGAGUGCAAUCACUGGGCUGAGUGAGAGGAGUAAGCCUAGCAGAAAACCCAGUGCCAAGCAAAGCCUGAGCAAAGGCACCACUAGCCACAGAGCUUUCCUGCUGGCAAAGGAGCACCAAAAGAAUCCUGUGUCAUUUCUGGGGGUCAUCUGAGAUCUGCAAAAGGUAUUCUCCUUAACCUAGACCAGGAAGCUGAACCUGCUGGAUAUCUUCCAUUUUCCCUUCAGAUCAAUUUUCUGCAUCUAUGAAGUAAGAAACCCAGCUUCUGCCAAGAAAUCCUGCUGCUUCUAGCCUGAGUCUUACACUGCCUGUGGCUUCUUAGUGCCUUAAAAAACAAUCCCUCCAUUAAACUCUACUGAAAUUGUCCAAUUGGAUUGUGCCAUCUCUGGUUCUGCAAAGACCCUUACUGAUACAUGGAAACUGGCAUAUCCUGGAAUCAAGUCUCCUGGAGGGAUUGGGAGUGACAAGUAUAUCUCAAUACAUCAGAACUGAUUAUUUCCUACUCUAUGGUGACCUACUCUAAGGAGAUUCGAGGCAAUUUUAAAAAUCCAAUAAAAGGGGGGUUAGAAUAUCAAUCAUAGCAUGGAGGUUAUAAAGUAGCAAUUACUGAGGAAGCUUACCAGACAGGAGGUCCUGAGGGCAGCCAUGCGAGAGGAGUAUAAUUCUGCUGGGCAGGUGUAGGAAGGAUGGACUGUAGAAAAGACCAGGAAUUCUGCAGGUCCAGUCACAUAAUUAAAGGCACUGGUGGGGAAAGAAAUCAUCAAGAUACAUGCAAAGUUUGUGAAGGAGUAUAAAAACACAGUUAGAUAAAAAGAAUAGAGAAGUUCUAGUAUUCAUAAGUAGAAUAUAAAAAUUAUAGUUAACAAUGACUUAUUGUAGAUUUUAAAGUAGCUAGGAAAGAAAAAUUGCAAUGUUCCUAACACAAAGGAAAGAUAAAUGUCUAAGGUGGUGGAUAUCCCAAUUACCCUGAUUUGAUCAUUACACAUUGUAUACAUGUAUCAAAAUACCAUAUGUACCCCAAAAAUAUGUCCAGCUAUUAUAUAUCAAUAAAAGUAAACAAAAUAAGAAUUUUAACAAAGUCAA